rnacentral:misc_RNA from 1 species
GUCAGAACCAUGCCUUGGUAGAUGAAGACUUCAUAAUUCUUAAACAAAAAUAGCUGCUCUUCCAAGGCCACGAACCUUUGUUGAUGUUCUUGUAUAUUACCUCUACCUCCCUUACAAUUGCUUCAAGUAAAUCUAAAUCCCUUUAAACCCAAAUCUUUAGCUUUUGGGAAUUUAAACCAACAUCAAAUUGAUCCAUUUUAAGUUGCUCCUCGACACUACUAUACUCACUAUAAGAAAAAUGCAAUUUAGGAAUGAAAAUGGAUGAUAGAGUGAAAUGAGA